GGACGUGAAGGCAGCGCAGCUGUGACAUCUCUCACCCCAUUGACUUCCAGGGUUGAUUUGGACGAUCUGGCUGGCUUGGCUGGUUAGGCAGAUGUCCCUUUCCUUCCUCACUACUCUAUGUGCAUCCCUCUUGAAGUGUGCACUCAGUCUAGGAGAAUGGCCUUCCCGCACAGAGGAGAGCCAUUCUUCAGUCAAGGGUAUGUGAAUAUUUGAAAGCCCCUGCUAGAGCCUCCAAACAAGCUCUCAGAAAUGGAAGGAGGGCCAGAGAGACGGCUCAGUAGUUAGGAACAUUUGUGCAC
rnacentral:snRNA from 1 species